rnacentral:rRNA from 1 species
ACCAGACUCCUACGGGAGGCAGCAGUGGGGGAUAUUGCACAAUGGGGGAAACCCUGAUGCAGCGACGCCGCGUGGGUGAAGAAGCGCCUCGGCGCGUAAAGCCCUGUCAGCAGGGAAGAAAGAGACGAAAGUCUUGUGACAGUACCUGACUAAGAAGCCCCGGCUAACUACGUGCCAGCAGCCGCGGUAAUACGUAGGGGGCAAGCGUUAUCCGGAUUUACUGGGUGUAAAGGGAGCGUAGGCGGUUAGAUAAGUCUGAUGUGAAAGCCCACAGCUUAACUGUGGGAUUGCAUUGGGAACUAUAGAACUAGAGUGUCGGAGAGGUAAGUGGAAUUCCUAGUGUAGCGGUGAAAUGCGUAGAUAUUAGGAGGAACACCAGUGGCGAAGGCGGCCUGCUGGACGAUGACUGACGCUGAGGCUCGAAAGCGUGGGGAGCAAACAGGAUUAGAUACCCCCGUAU